AUUGUGAGGAGAUAAUAGUCAUAUCCCCUGUGUACGUGUACUGCACUGAGGCAUUCAUUUGGUUUCAAAAUGGCAGGCUCUACAAGUUAUUUCUUUUUAAUUAUCUUGGGCUUCUGUCUUUCUGAUACCCAAGGUUUUACUAAUGGAAACUUGAGGCUGGUAGGCAACUCAGGCCAAACAGGAGGCUCCUCUGGCAGACUGGAGGUCUAUUACAGUGGACAAUGGGGGACAGUGUGUAACGACAGGUUCGAUAUAAAUGAUGCAAGGGUGGCUUGUCGUCAACUAGGGUACUCAACCUACACUCGAUACGGAACAGUUGGAAGGCUAGGUUUCUCUCAAGCAUCAUCAAGCACUCGGACAUGGCUGGACAAUCUUCGUUGCUCAGGAGCUGAGACCAAACUGACUGAUUGUCCUGCUAACACUAUCGGAGCUGGAGAUUGCACCCACACACAAGAUGUGGCCUUGAUCUGUACUACAAGU